CGGGUCCAUUUGGGUUUGGGUCA
rnacentral:siRNA from 1 species